rnacentral:lncRNA from 1 species
GGUAUGGAUGGUGUGGGUGGUAUGGAUGGUGUGAGUGGUAUGGAUGGUGUGGGUGGUAUGGAUGAUGUGGGUGGAACAACUAACAAUGACAGCAAGGACGGUAACAAUGAUACGAACAAGUAUAAUUUAGAACAAAUUGGUAAUUCGCUAAAAAACGAUAUAAUAACAAAUAACACAAGCGAAAGCAAUGAAAAUAAUUUGUUAAACGAUAAGUUUAAUAUGAACUAUAAAAUUAAAAGCAAAAUUAAAAAAGAAAAUAAUAAAUUAAAUGAUUAUUAUGAACAGUUACUUAGAAAUAAAAAUAAUAAAAACGAAAAGAGUGAGCACGACACAAUGUGUCGAACAGGGGCGAAUAGCGUUGAAAACUUAAUUGAAAAUAAUUUAUAUUACAAUUUACACAUAAAAAAAAACGAAAAAAAAAAAAAGUAUGUUAUGAAUUAUUUGUUCAGCGAUAUGAAAAAUAGCUUACCUGCUGAAGCGAAUUUAACUAUUUUUUGGCUAUUUAUACAGAAUGGUUACAAAAAAAAAAAUAGAAAUAAAAAUACAUUAUAUGAUAAUGAUAAUGAAUGUGGUAAUAUUUGUGAUGAUAAUCAAAUAAAAAAUGGAGAAAAAAAAAAAAGAAAAAAAAAAAAAAAAGAAAGAAAAAAAAAAGCACAUUUUGAUUAUCAGUGCUAUGAAUUAUUAUACACAAUUGAAAAAAGAGAAGACGAUUAUUACGAUAGUAAUAAUGGUAAUAAUAGUAUUAAUAAUGAUAAUAAUAAUAAUAAUAAUAAUAAUAAAAAUUUUACAAAUAGAAAUGAGAUUUUACUUAUGAAUAACGAUUAUUCAAGUGCGUACCAUGCCAAUUACCAUGGUAGUAGUAGUAGUAGUAGUAAUAAUAACAAAAUAUAUAGCAGUUAUAAUAAUGGUAAUAUUUUUAUUCUUCCCAAAUGUUAUCACAUCAACAAAGAGUAUACAAUUUUGUGUAAGUAUAUUCUAGCAAUAAUUAAAGACAUAAUUAAUUACCGAAUCAAUUUUUUUGAUUAUAAUAACAUAUUACAUAUUUUUACUACAAGUAAAGAAAUAAAUAAAAUUUUAGGAAAUAUUUUAUUUUUUCUUUUUAAUGAAUUAGAACAUAAUUUAAGAUUUGAUAAUAUUUAUGCAUCAUUGAUGUUGUUAAUAUUGC